GGGUUGGACGCCUCAAUGGUGAGGCAGCGGACUGUAAAUCCGCCGCGGGUACGCAUGGCAGGUUCAAUCCCUGCCCAACCCA
rnacentral:tRNA from 1 species